CAGAGCCCUUUGGGCCUAAAUGGGCGGGAAGCCCGGCUUCCGGACAGGCGGCCUCGAAAUAGUCCUCGAGUCCCUUGUCGUAGAGAUCCCCCUCGGUCGUGGCUACGGCAAACGCCGUGUUGACCCAGUGCAGCCAGUCGGUCUGUACACACCGCCCAAGGGCGAAUUCCAGCACACUGGCGGCCUAUGGAUCCGAGCUCGGUACCAAGCUUGGCGUAAUCAUGGUAUAGCUUUG
rnacentral:rRNA from 1 species